rnacentral:misc_RNA from 1 species
GGAAGUAAAAGUCAACAAGGUUUCCGUAGGUGAACCUGCGGAAGGAUCAUUCAUAAUAAAGUGUUUUAUGGCACUUUUUAAAAAUCCAUAUCCACCUUGUGUGCAAUGUUAGAUCUCGUCAAUCUUGGCGAGAUUUUUAUACAUCAACUCAUUCUUUAACUAAUUUGUCUGAAAAAUAUUAUGAAUACUUAAUUCAAAAUACAACUUUCAACAACGGAUCUCUUGGCUCUC